CCUACGGGUGGCUGCAGCCGAGAAUAUUCGACAAUGGACGAAAGUCUGAUCGAGCGACGCCGCGUGAUUGAUGAAGUCCCUCUGGGACGUAAAGAUCUUUUAUGAGGGAAGAAGUUUAUUGACUGUACCUCACGAAUAAGAGGCUCCUAAUCUCGUGCCAGCAGGAGCGGUAAUACGAGAGCCUCGAGCGUUAUCCGGAAUUAUUGGGCGUAAAGGGUGCGUAGGUUGUUCUGUUAGUCUUUUGUUAAAGCCCCGUGCUUAACACGGGAUACACGAAAGAAACGGCAGGACUUGAAAGUGUGAGAGGCGUACGGAACUCAUGGUGUAGGAGUGAAAUCCGUUGAUAUCAUGGGGAACACCAAAAGCGAAGGCAGUACGCUGGCGCAUAUUUGACACUGAAGCACGAAAGCGUAGGGAGAGAAUGGGAUUAGAUACCCCAGUAGUC
rnacentral:rRNA from 1 species